rnacentral:lncRNA from 1 species
UUUUUUUAUCUGGAUUUUUUCUAUACAUUUUUUUUUUCUUUUUGAGGUUUCCAAAAUUUAAGAUUUAUUUAGCUAGUCAUCACUGAUCAGCCAUUAUAGGUUACAAAACUGGAUCUUAAGAAAUGACAGCAAAGAUAUAUACUGUCUGAAAAUAAAGUUAUGCUAAAAAGUGUGUCAUCUAUAUAGUUCAGAACUAUACGUACUAUGCUGAAUUGGAAUCCAAAUUAAUUAAAAAA